UAUAUUUCAAGUUAAAGUCCAUUUAUUUUUUUAAAUUAACUUCAAUAGCCCCUGUACCUGCUGCACAGCGCUGCCGCAAGGCAGCACUGGCAGGGUCGCCAUGCAAUGUGCGGCUUAGGGGAGACUGAUUGAAAGAGAGUUGUCUCUGCGAA